rnacentral:Y_RNA from 1 species
GGCUGGUCCCAGUGCAGUGGUGUUUAUAAUUUAUCAAUCAUAGCCAGUUACAGAUUUAUUUAUUCCUUCUCCACUCCCACUGCUUCAGCUUGACUACCCUUAC